rnacentral:lncRNA from 1 species
UGGGUCAACCGUGUCGCUACCUCGAGCAGUUGAGGAGCAGUAGGAGCCCGGACUUCACGCCACGCCGCCGGAAUCCCCCGGGCCAAGACCGUGAGCGCUGGGCCGCGGGAGUGGGCGGAUCGAGCUCGAGCCCAGGUCCGGUCCCCGGACCCGCCUGCGCCCCACCCCUCCGCCGGAGCCUUUCCUGCCCUGCGUGGGUGGGGGUGGGGAGAGGAGGCGGGUGCGUGGGCUGCGGUCCCAGCGCCGCCCUUGCCGUGGGGUCCUUAAGGGCCGCCCGACCCUCACCCCCGCAGCGGCUCCAAGGUCCGCUUGAGGCGCAACAUGUUUGCUGCCCUGAUCCUGACCGCGAACCCGAACCCUAACCCACGUGGUCUCCUCCUACCUGAACUGGGGCGGCGAGCCUCAUCCCACCAGCAGGGGCUUCUGGAGAGGGCAAUAACCGGAUCUGUGAAAUAGGAAUUGUAUUAGGAAGUGAAGCGUGCAGUGGAGAGAAACCCAGCACUGAAGAGAGAACAGGCGCCUCGGGUUAAAGAGAGGCUCCACUGGACACCAGUGUCUUGCUAUGUGGUUCAGGCUGGCCUUGAACUCACUACGGGUGCCCAGGCUGGCCUUCAACUCCCGGUGUCCUCCUGCCUCAGCCUCCCAAGUGCUGGGAUUACAGGUGUGUCCAGGUUUGCAGCUGCUUGCUGGGUAAACUAGUGUGAGAGGACUCCCUGGUCAUUGUGGUCUUCUUGGUGUUGUCCUGUAUUUGCACAUGUGCCCCCCCGCCC